rnacentral:rRNA from 1 species
CCCUUAGAUGUUCGGGGCCGCACGCGCGCUACACUGAAUGAAUCAGCGAGUGUAUGUCCUAGGCCGAAAGGUCCGGGUAACCCGUUGAACCUCAUUCGUGAUUGGGAUAGGGACUUGCAAUUGUUUCCCUUGAACGAGGAAUUCCCAGUAAGCGCAAGUCAUAAGCUCGCGUUGAUUACGUCCCUGCCCUUUGUACACACCGCCCGUCGCUACUACCGAUUGAACGGUUUAGUGAGGGCCUCGGAUUGGUCUCGGCCCGCUCUUUACCGGGCGGCGCCGUUGGUCGAGAAGACGCUCGAACUUGAUCGUUUAGAGGAAGUAAAAGUCGUAACA